rnacentral:rRNA from 1 species
UACGGGGGGGGCAAGCGUUGUUCGGAAUUACUGGGCGUAAAGGGUUUGUAGGUGGCUUGCUAAGUCAGACGUGAAAUCCCUCAGCUUAACUGGGGAACUGCGUCUGAGACUGGCAAGCUCGAGUGCAGGAGAGGAACGCGGAAUUCCAGGUGUAGCGGUGAAAUGCGUAGAUAUCGGGAGGAAUACCUAUGGCGAAAGCAGGCUACUGGACCGUCACUGACGCUGAUCUGCGAAAGCUAGGGGAGCAAACAGG